CCUACGGGAGGCAGCAGUGAGGAAUAUUGGUCAAUGGGCGGAAGCCUGAACCAGCCAAGUCGCGUGAGGGAUGACGGUCCUAUGGAUUGUAAACCUCUUUUGUCGGGGAGCAAGGCCCGGCACGUGUGCCUGGACGGAGAGUACCCGCAGAAUAAGCAUCGGCUACCUCCGUGCCAGCAGCCGCGGUAAUACGGGGGAUUCAAGCGUUAUCCGGAUUCAUGGGGUUUAAGGGGUGCUUAGGUGGGAGGUUAAGUCAGUGGUAAAGUGGCGGGCCUAAACCCCGGCCUGCAGUUGAAACUGGGAGUCUGGAGUGAGGGAGAGGUAGGCGGAAUGCGCGGUGUAGCGGUGAAAUGCGUAGAUAUCAAGAAGAACCC
rnacentral:rRNA from 1 species